UGGAAGAGUGGACCCUUGCUCUUACUGGGCCU
rnacentral:piRNA from 1 species